rnacentral:rRNA from 1 species
GGACUACUGGGGUUUCUAAUCCUGUUUGCUCCCCUAGCUUUCGCAGUUGAGUGUCAGUAAUGGUCCAGGUACCUGCUUUCGCCAUUGGUGUUCCUCCCGAUCUCUGCGCAUUUCACCGCUACUCCGGGAAUUCCAGUACCCUCUCCCAUACUCAAGCCUGACAGUUUCUGUUGACCUCUCCCGGUUAAGCCGGGAGCUUUCACAACAGACUUGUCAAACCACCUACCUGCCCUUUACGCCUAGUAAUUCCGAGUAACGCUUGCCACCUUCGUAUUACCGCGGCUGCUGGCAC